CAUGCAAGUCGAGCGGUAACAGAGAGUAGCUUGCUACUUUGCUGACGAGCGGCGGACGGGUGAGUAAUGCUUGGGAACAUGCCUUGAGGUGGGGGACAACAGUUGGAAACGACUGCUAAUACCGCAUAAUGUCUACGGACCAAAGAGGGCUUCGGCUCUCGCCUUUAGAUUGGCCCAAGUGGGAUUAGCUAGUUGGUGAGGUAAUGGCUCACCAAGGCGACGAUCCCUAGCUGGUUUGAGAGGAUGAUCAGCCACACUGGGACUGAGACACGGCCCAGACUCCUACGGGAGGCAGCAGUGGGGAAUAUUGCACAAUGGGCGCAAGCCUGAUGCAGCCAUGCCGCGUGUGUGAAGAAGGCCUUCGGGUUGUAAAGCACUUUCAGUCAGGAGGAAAGGUUAGUAGUUAAUACCUGCUAGCUGUGACGUUACUGACAGAAGAAGCACCGGCUAACUCCGUGCCAGCAGCCGCGGUAAUACGGAGGGUGCGAGCGUUAAUCGGAAUUACUGGGCGUAAAGCGUACGCAGGCGGUUUGUUAAGCGAGAUGUGAAAGCCCCGGGCUCAACCUGGGAACUGCAUUUCGAACUGGCAAACUAGAGUGUGAUAGAGGGUGGUAGAAUUUCAGGUGUAGCGGUGAAAUGCGUAGAGAUCUGAAGGAAUACCGAUGGCGAAGGCAGCCACCUGGGUCAACACUGACGCUCAUGUACGAAAGCGUGGGGAGCAAACGGGAUUAGAUACCCCGGUAGUCCACGCCGUAAACGAUGUCUACUAGAAGCUCGGAGCCUCGGUUCUGUUUUUCAAAGCUAACGCAUUAAGUAGACCGCCUGGGGAGUACGGCCGCAAGGUUAAAACUCAAAUGAAUUGACGGGGGCCCGCACAAGCGGUGGAGCAUGUGGUUUAAUUCGAUGCAACGCGAAGAACCUUACCUACACUUGACAUACAGAGAACUUACCAGAGAUGGUUUGGUGCCUUCGGGAACUCUGAUACAGGUGCUGCAUGGCUGUCGUCAGCUCGUGUUGUGAGAUGUUGGGUUAAGUCCCGCAACGAGCGCAACCCCUAUCCUUAGUUGCUAGCAGGUAAUGCUGAAAACUCUAAGGAGACUGCCGGUGAUAAACCGGAAGAAGGUGGGGACGACGUCAAGUCAUCAUGGCCCUUACGUGUAGGGCUACACACGUGCUACAA
rnacentral:rRNA from 1 species